UGGGCCCGACGGUUUGAUCCUGGCUCAGAUUGAACGCUGGCGGCAUGCCUUACACAUGCAAGUCGAACGGCAGCGCGGGAGCAAUCCUGGCGGCGAGUGGCGAACGGGUGAGUAAUACAUCGGAACGUGCCCAAUCGUGGGGGAUAACGCAGCGAAAGCUGUGCUAAUACCGCAUAAGAUCUACGGAUGAAAGCAGGGGAUCGCAAGACCUUGCGCGAAUGGAGCGGCCGAUGGCAGAUUAGGUAGUUGGUGAGGUAAAGGCUCACCAAGCCUUCGAUCUGUAGCUGGUCUGAGAGGACGACCAGCCACACUGGGACUGAGACACGGCCCAGACUCCUACGGGAGGCAGCAGUGGGGAAUUUUGGACAAUGGGCGCAAGCCUGAUCCAGCCAUGCCGCGUGCAGGAUGAAGGCCUUCGGGUUGUAAACUGCUUUUGUACGGAACGAAAAGUCUCUUUCUAAUAAAGAGGGAUCAUGACGGUACCGUAAGAAUAAGCACCGGCUAACUACGUGCCAGCAGCCGCGGUAAUACGUAGGGUGCAAGCGUUAAUCGGAAUUACUGGGCGUAAAGCGUGCGCAGGCGGUUAUGUAAGACAGUUGUGAAAUCCCCGGGCUCAACCUGGGAACUGCAUCUGUGACUGCAUAGCUAGAGUACGGUAGAGGGGGGAUGGAAUUCCGCGUGUAACAGUGAAAUGCGUAGAUAUGCGGAGGAACACCGAUGGCGAAGGCAAUCCCCUGGACCUGUACUGACGCUCAUGCACGAAAGCGUGGGGAGCAAACAGGAUUAGAUACCCUGGUAGUCCACGCCCUAAACGAUGUCAACUGGGUUGUUGGGUCUUCACUGACUC
rnacentral:rRNA from 1 species